rnacentral:misc_RNA from 1 species
CUACUGUACAUGAUGAAGGACCCUUAGGAAAGAAUCGAACAGCACCUCUGUUAGGAAGACCUUCCAGAGAUCUCCAAUGAAUUUUCUGAUUUGGGAUUGGCUGCAUAUUUCUAGCAAGCCAAGAGAAUUCAAUAUCACGACCAAAUGCUUUAUACUUGAGUGACCAUCGCGAUAGGUCGGGCUUGUCUUCCAGUACCUUUACGGACG